rnacentral:sRNA from 1 species
UCAUCUGUGAAAUGGGGAUGAUACCUUUUCGUGGGGUUAUCAGCCACGUACUCUAAGUAUUUCAUUCCUGGUAGAUGGCCAAUCAGUGUUUAUCGAACCUAAUAGAUGGGAAGGGGACAAAUGGGGGGACACACCAGCAUAAUGGUAGGGACAGAUACAUAGUGGGUAGACCCAUAUGACAUGAAGAAGUUAGCUGGCCUGGAACAAAGCCAGGGUGGACUGGCCUCUGCUUAGUUCUCCUUGGGCUACUUCUCUCCAUCAUCCCCUACCCAUAGUGACUUCCUGCCAUGAUCCUGGAGAUGUGGAGCACAGCCGACGCCUCAUAUCCAGCCCCAAGUUUCCCGUGGGGGCCACUGUGCAAUAUAUCUGUGACCAGGGUUUUGUGCUGACGGGCAGCUCCAUCCUCACCUGUCAUGAUCGCCAGGCUGGCAGCCCCAAGUGGAGUGACCGGGCCCCUAAAUGUCUCUUGGAACAGCUCAAGCCAUGCCAUGGUCUCAGUGCCCCUGAGAAUGGUGCCCGAAGUCCUGAGAAGCGGCUACACCCAGCAGGGGCCACCAUCCACUUCUCGUGUGCCCCUGGCUAUGUGCUGAAGGGCCAGGCCAGCAUCAAGUGUGUGCCUGGGCACCCCUCGCAUUGGAGUGACCCCCCACCCAUCUGUAGGGCUGCCUCUCUGGAUGGGUUCUACAACAGUCGCAGCCUGGAUGUUGCCAAGGCACCUGCUGCCUCCAGCACCCUGGAUGCUGCCCACAUUGCAGCUGCCAUCUUCUUGCCACUGGUGGCGAUGGUGUUGUUGGUAGGAGGUGUAUAC